rnacentral:rRNA from 1 species
AACGAACGCUGGCGGCAUGCCUAAUACAUGCAAGUCGAGCGAGGACUUCGGUCCUAGCCUUGGACGAGGGUGUAACGCGAGGGGAGGUGCCCUUGGCUUCGGAAUAGCCAUGGGAAAGGGGGAGUAAUACCGGAUGAGCGCUAUGGCGGGAAGAUUUAUUGGCGAAGAAUCGGCAAGCGUUGGAUUAGGUAGUGGGGGGGGUAAUAGCCUACCAAGCGGACCAUGCCUAGCUGGGUAGAGAGGAUGAUCAGCCACACUAGGGCUGAGACACGGCCGAGACUCCUACGGGAAGCAGCAAUGGGUAAUCUUAGACAAUGGGGGAAACCCUGAUCGAGUCAGGCCGGGAGAGCGAUGAAGGCCUUAGGGUUGUAAAGCUCUUUUAGCUGGGAACAUAAUGACGGUACCAGAAGAAAAAGCCACGGCUAACUCCGUG